rnacentral:rRNA from 1 species
CCGUGCCCAAGAGAUCGGGAUAGCACCUGGAAACAGAUGCUAAUACCGGAUAACAACAGAUGAUGCCUAUCAACUGUUUAAAAGAUGGUUCUGCUAUCACUCUUGGAUGGACCUGCGGUGCAUUAGCUAGUUGGUAGGGUAACGGCCUACCAAGGCGAUGAUGCAUAGCCGAGUUGAGAGACUGAUCGGCCACAUUGGGACUGAGACACGGCCCAAACUCCUACGGGAGGCCAGCAGGC